UACGUAGGCAGCAAGCGUUGUUCGGAGUUACUGGGCGUAAAGAGUACGUAGGCGGUUUGCUAAGUCUGGUGUGAAAUCUCCUGGCUUAACUGGGAGGGUGCGCUAGAUACUGGCAGGCUUGAGUAUGGGAGAGGAGAGUGGAAUUCCUGGUGUAGCGGUGGAAUGCGUAGAUAUCAGGAGGAACGCCGGUGGUGUAGACGGCUCUCUGGACCAUUACUGACGCUGAGGUACGAAAGCGUGGGUAGCAAACAGG
rnacentral:rRNA from 1 species